AUUGAACGCUGGCGGCAUGCCUUACACAUGCAAGUCGAACGGUAACGGGCCUUCGGGUGCCGACGAGUGGCGAACGGGUGAGUAAUACAUCGGAACGUGCCCGAUCGUGGGGGAUAACGAGGCGAAAGCUUUGCUAAUACCGCAUACGAUCUACGGAUGAAAGCAGGGGACCGCAAGGCCUUGCGCGGACGGAGCGGCCGAUGGCAGAUUAGGUCGUUGGUGGGGUAAAAGCUUACAAAGCCGACGAUGUGUAGCUGGUCUGAGAGGAGGGUCGGACACACUGGAACGGAGACAAGGAACAGACUCCUACGGGAGGAAGCAGUAGGGAAUAGUCAGCAAUGGGCGAAAGAUGGACGGAGAAAGGCCGCGGGAGUGAUGAAGGUGUUCGGAUAGGAAAACUCUGUUAUUAGGGAAGAAAAAAUGUGUAAGUAAAUAUGCACGUCUUGACGGUACCUAAUCAGAAAGCCAGGGCUAACUACGUG
rnacentral:rRNA from 1 species